UCUGACCUCAAAUCAGGUAGGACUACCCGCUGAACUUAAGCAUAUCAAUAAGCGGAGGAAAAGAAACUAACAAGGAUUCCCCUAGUAACUGCGAGUGAAGCGGGAAAAGCUCAAAUUUAAAAUCUGGCAGUCUUUGGCUGUCCGAGUUGUAAUCUGGAGAA
rnacentral:rRNA from 1 species